rnacentral:piRNA from 1 species
UGAAAUGGGAGGCUUGGUUUAAUCGGC